ensembl:lncRNA
AAGGACCACUACUUCGACGCAGACAAGAAACAGGGUUUACGUGAAACCGAGGAAGAAGCCACGGACAGACAGAGCUGAAACUUCACUGCUUGACAUGUACAAUGAAAUCCUGGUUGAGAAUGAAACGACUGAACGACGAAACAGCACAGCAAGUAAGUGAAAGAAAUACAUUUUGAUGAUGUUUUACUGGUAAUGGGGACAUAUGUAAACGCCAACAAAAUAACUUUUUCGUCAGUGUGUGUGUGUGCGCACGAGUGUUUAAACUAUUUAACUGUACUAGAAUGCUUAAAAGGGUGGCUAAAAUUUUAAAUAACGGUGAUCGGUAUCGUUUUUUUUUUUUUUGAAAGGAGAAUAUUGGAUAUCAGUAUCGGCCAAAAAUGGCAUAUAGGUGAAUCACUAACUACAGCACAUCAACACAUCUACUACUGCAGUACAACUCAUUACAAUGCACAUGACAUAAACUGACGGCACAAAACAUUAAGAACACCUUCCUAAUAUUGAGUUGUACCUCACACUUUUAACCAUCAAUUCGUCAGGGCAUGGACUCUACAACGUGUCAAAAGCGUUCCACAGUGAUGCUGGCCCAUGUUGACUCUACAAGGUGUUGAAAGCGUUCCACAGUGAUGCUGGCCCAUGUUGACUCUACAAGGUGUUGAAAGCGUUCCACAGCGAUGCUGGCCCAUGUUGACUCCAAAGCUUCCCACAUUCUCGAUACACAUGGGAAAACUGUUGAACGUGAAAAACCCAGCCGUGUUGCAGCUCGACACACUCAAACCGGUGCGCCUGGCACGAACUACAUAACCAUACCCCGUUCAAAGGCACUUCAAUCUAUUGUCUUGCCCAUUCACCCUCUCAAUGGCACACAUACAAUAGCUCAAUUGUCUCAAGACUUAAAAAAAAAAAAUCCUUCUUUCACCCGUUUGCUCUCCUUCAUCUACACUAAUUGAAGUGGAUUUAACAAGUGACAUUAAUAAAAUAUCAUAGCUUUAACCUGGAUUCACCUGGUCAGUCUAUGUCAUGGAAAGAGCA